rnacentral:lncRNA from 1 species
GAUUCGCUGGCUAACAUUGAACUUCUCCCAGUGGAGCCACAAAGUAAACAGCUCAUGACUUCUGAUCAGGACGCUAAGGUCGUGGCUGAACCGCAGGGCCAACGAGUCCAAGAAGGGAAAGACAGUGCACAUCUGAUGAAUGGUCCCAUAUCUCAGACAACUUCUCAGACAAGUUCCAUUCCAGCUUUGAGUCAGGUACCAACAGCCAAGGUUUCGGAGCUAAACCCUAAUGCAAAAGUAUGGGGCACUCCACUGUUACAGCUGGAAGCGCGUGGAGCUGCAGACGGCGGUGUGAGCACAGUCUGGGAGGCGUCCCCUGGCCGCGGCCAUCUCGGAUUGGACACCAACGGUGACGGUGACAAAAGUCAUGACAGUGUUGGGCUGUCAGAUCCGCAGGAGUCAGACCAGACAGCCAUGAGCACGCUGGGUCCGGACCACUCAGAGUAUGAGUCACUGCCUGAAAGCAGUGAGACAGGAGGGAAUGAAUCUCAACCAGAAAGCCAGGAAGACCCCCGGGAAGUACUUAAAAAGACAUUGGAAUUCUGCUUGUCUAGGGAGAACCUUGCUAGUGACAUGUACCUUAUAUCACAGAUGGACAGUGACCAGUACGUGCCAAUCACCACAGUAGCUAACCUGGACCACAUCAAGAAGCUCAGCACCGACAUGGACCUGAUUGUUGAGGUGCUGAGAUCUUUACCUUUAGUCCAAGUGGAUGAGAAGGGAGAGAAAGUAAGGCCAAAUCAGAACCGUUGCAUAGUGAUACUACGUGAGAUACCUGAGUCCACCCCUGUAGAAGAAGUAGAAGCACUAUUUAAAGGAGAUAACUUACCGAGAUUUAUAAACUGUGAAUUUGCCUAUAAUGAUAAUUGGUUUAUUACAUUUGAAACAGAAGCUGAUGCACAACAGGCUUACAAGUAUCUGAGAGAAGAAGUCAAAACCUUUCAAGGAAAACCAAUUAAGGCACGGAUAAAGGCGAAGGCAAUAGCUAUAAACACGUUUUUGCCAAAGAAUGGCUUUAGGCCUCUGGACAUGAGCCUCUACACCCAGCAGCGCUACACGGCGUCGUUUUACUUACCUCCAGUCUAUAGUCCCCAGCAGCAGUUCCCUCUGUACAGCCUGAUAGCCCCCCAGACGUGGUCAGCGACACACAGCUAUCUUGACCCGCCCUUGGUAACGCCAUUUCCAAAUACUGGAUUUAUAAAUGGGUUCACGUCUCCAACCUUCAAACCUGCCGCAUCUCCUCUGGCUUCACUCAGACAGUACCCUCCGAGGAGCAGGAAUCCUAGUAAGUCUCACUUGCGCCAUGCCAUCCCCAGUGCAGAGAGGGGUCCCGGGCUGCUGGAAAGUCCUUCCAUAUUUAACUUCACUGCUGAUCGCUUGAUGAACGGUGUGCGCAGCCCACAAGUGAGGCAGACAGCACAGCCACGAGCUCGGCUCCAGAACCCUCCGGCCUUUGCCAAGAGAGACGUGGGGCCUGGGCGCGUGGAGCAGAGCAGCUUCGAGUCCUCCCCGGGCUUAGGCAGAGGGAGGAAGAGCUCCUUUGGUUAUCGGAAGAAGCGGGAGGAGAAGUUCACAAGGAGUCAGACUCAGUCUCCAACGCCGCCCAGACCGCCGUCCCCCAGCUUCGAAUUAGGCCUGUCCAGCUUCCCCCCACUGCCUGGGGCAGCAGGGCAUUUGAAGACAGAGGACUUGUUUGAGAACAGGCUGUCUGGCUUGCUCGCAGGAACAUCCAAAGAAAGGAGCCUGAACGCAGAUGCCAGCACGAACACUCUUCCUGCCGUGCACCCGCGAGAGCCCUUGGCGCCCUGUGCCACGUCCGUAGCCUGCGAGCGCACCCCCUCCCCUGCCCGCCCGCCCGAGGACGCCAAGGUGGUGGAGAAGCAGAGGGAAACCCCGAGUGUGGACAGACCGCCUCCUGCCCUCCCUGAGACUGCAAGUAAAUCGGUGCAGGUGAACGGUGCCGCCUCGGAAUUGCGAAAACCCAGCUACGCAGAGAUUUGUCAGAGGACAAGUAGAGAGCCACCGUCUUCCCCGUUGCAACCCCAGAAAGAACAGAAGCCAAACCCGGUCGGCUGUGGGAAGGAAGAGAGGAAGGUCAUGGAGAGAGACCCCCCUGCCCCCAAAUCCAGCCCAGGACCACCCAAAGACCAGAGGAGGCCGCUGGGCCGCCGGCCGUCACCCCCGGGCUUGGGGCGGCGUCCGCACAGAGAACAGAGCCCCCCACCCAGGCCCCCUCAGUGAGCACCGAGGUCUGGGAGGGCUGCGAGGAGCUGAGGUCGCCACAACUAGGCACUAUCCUGCUCGGACGUGAGUGAGCCGCUGGCUAGGAGCUUGCAGUGUAGAUGAGGCCCACAAGGUGCCUGCAAGUUAUUUUUCUUCUAUGAGUCGGAUUUCCCCCCUCUUGAAAAAAAUCUAUUUUUCAGGAUUUAAUUAAUAUAAACCUUAUUUUAGGUUGGUGCUUAACUGGAGGUGAUGCAUAAGUCUGAUUUUUUUCAGGAUAGAAAAUGCAUUUAUCCUAACAAAUUGAUAUUUUUUAUUAAGCCUCCAUGUGGCUAUGAAUGCAAGCUAUAUAUAUAGUGAGUUUUUCUAAAUUAAGCGGAACUAUGCUACUUCAUUUUUUAAAAUAACUGGUUAGCAAGUGCGUAUCUCUAAGAUGUCCAGGCCGCCGGGUGAAGCUGAGGACCGAGGGAGGAGGACUGAGGUGAUGCUGUGAGCACAGCUUGGGAGAGCGGGUGGGGCUCGCCAGCCUGGGAGCUGCCCUUCGCUCAGAAACCUAACAGGUGGUUCUAGCAUUUUCUAAGCAGAGUCCGGUUUUGGUCCACUGGGCAGAGUAAGCCUGCACAGCCCCGAGAGCCCUCUUGUCCUGCCAGCAAGUAACCAGCUCCUCACUCUAGUCUCAAGUGGUUGUUAUGUAAGACAAACUCAAAGCACAUUGUGAAUAGAACUCAAAUGAAAUAUAAACUUUGUAAGCCCACUGACAUGUUACCGCAAAAUUGUACCCUGACGUUUUGCUCCCGCGAGUGGGUGGGGAGGGUGUGGAGCCCGCCUCACAGUCGGCCUUCCUGCCCCCCGCUCCCCCCCCACUCCCCAGGCCUCCGGGGUCCUCCCGGCUCCCCUCUAGAUCCUCCCGGCCCCCGCGCGGAUCAUGGGGGAGGCGGUUGUGGUGCCCUCUGGUGGCGGAGGGUUCCAGCCCACUCUCCUUACCUCCAAGACAGGGUCAAUGAUCCCUUCUCCAAGUGCUGCUCUCCAAGAACACGCAUGCACUAGCUAGCAGUUGAUAAUAAAGUUUAACAUAAAUUAUUUUGUUUUAAAAUG